rnacentral:lncRNA from 1 species
CACAUUUCAGAACUAACUCUAUCUUUUUCUUGCAGCCCGACAACCAACCAAAGUGCCAACUCCUCGGGGACCUGUGUGCUCGAGCCAGGGACCAUUCCAGUGAAAUUCCAGCCCGAACACCCUCUUUAUCUUGGUGAGUCACAAGUUACGACACCACAACUGAGAACAUUCCAAGCUAGGUCCGCUUUGUUGUAGUUGGCAACCGAAACUUUCUCGCCAUUUGCGACCACUGCAAGGUGGGCCCUCUUUAUCUUGGCGAGUCACAAGUUGCAACACCACAACUGAGAACAUUCCAAGCCAGGUUAAAGCUCAUGACGCUUCGGAAUAGUUAGUUUUUGGUAUAAUUUUCUUUGGUUUUAACUAGUGGUUUGUUUGAAAUCUAGGCUACUAUUGGUAGAUGGCAUUAUUUGGGUGUUGAUGAUCAAGCCAUGCUUACGCCUGGGAUAAUUGAUCAAGCUAUGCUAUUAUGUUGUAUCAAGUUUCUCGUUUUCAUUAUUGAGAAUCCAAUAGAAGAAACCUGUAUUAUCUAGACAUUUGCCCAACUAAUUGUGACUCAUUCC